CCCUCUCCUGCUUCCCCCCCUCUGGUCUCAAUGCCCCUCCCCCCUCUUCCCUCCGUUUCCUUUUCUGUCUGCUCAUCCUCCCGCUCCUCCCCUCUGUGCUCCUGGCGGCCCCGCCUCUUCUCUCCCCUCCCUCUGUUCCUUUCCUCUUUCUUUCCUUCUUUCUUCCUCCUCCUCUCUCUCUCCGACCCUCUCCCUUCCCGUCCCCUCCCCAUCCCUCCCCAGCUCUCUUCCCACCUCUCUUCCUUGUUUCUCCCUCUCUGCCCCCUCCUCUCGGGGCCUCCCUGUCUCUGCUCCUCCCACUUCUCUGCCUGUCCUCCCCUCUGAGUGGCCCCCUCUCCCCUCCUCACAUCCGUCUCUUCUCUCUCCUCUCCUCGCUGAAUCUCUCCUUCCCCUCACCCCUCCUCUUUCUCACUCUACAGUUUCUCUUUCUCUAGCCCCUCGCACCUUCUUUCAGUCUCUCUCCUCCUUUCCUUUGUCUCCUCUCCCAAUCUGUCUUCUCAUCUCCUCUCUCUGUCUCCGGAGGCCCCUGCCCUGCCCUGCCCAGCGCCCCCUCCCCCGCGCGUCCUCGCCCUGAGGGCUCCAGGGGCUCCUCUCUCCCUUUCCCUCUCCUGCCCUUGGGGCUCUGAGGUUUCCAAGUUCUGAGCAGAUGAGGGAGUCAACCCAGGGAGCCCGGGGCCGGGCCAGGCUGUCAGGCCAGAGUCCCCGAGGUGGAAGGGCCUUUGUGACACCCAUUUUCUCUCUCUUUCUGUCUGCCCCGGGCUCUGGACACUGCCUGGAGGGAUCAAGUCUGCCCCAGGUGCAGGGAGGACGAACGAGGCCGGGCUCAGAGGCAGGGAGCAAGCUGCCUAAAGACUCACAGCAGGCAGCGUGAAGCACAGCAGCCGCUGGGAGGACCUCACACGACCCCACUUCACAGAUGAGAAAACAGGCGCCUGGUGUUCCUGAGGACCAGCAUCUGCUAAGACACAGACUUCAUGGGAACCCCAACCUUCCCAAAGGAUCGACAGUGCCCCCUCUAGGGUCCUUCUCUCCGCUGAGACGGACCACAUGGGUCAGCAUGAUGCCUGACCUCCCCCAGUACCGCCCAAGAGGCAUUCUCAGACUCGGUGUGGUCGUCCAUCACCACCUACUGGCAAAGGACAAAACUGCAACCAGCUCUAAUAAACACUGGGAAUGAUCCCGACAAAAGAGGACAGUGCCAGGGGGUGGCAGAGGGGCUGCGGGAGAGGAGGGGGAGAAUUUGCAAAAUUCUGUAAAAAUUAAAAACUUGACUCCUAACCAAUACAUAAACAUCAUACUCAGCAAGCUUCUUGGUGUGCCAACUUAAAUCUCCAGACUUCGUGGGUGUUUCCCAGUCAUGCUACGGGCAGGUUCUCUCCUGCACUGCCAUGGAAAUGCACGCGUCGCUGCUCUGGGAAAUGAAGGAGAGUGGGAUUUGGUUUACACAAUUUGCUAGGGAGCCUAUUUCCAGGAACUGGGCCAAACUGAGUUUGUUUCCUCUGCAGUGACCUUGCUGAAUGGAAGCUGGGUGCAAGCAAAGGUGAAUGUUCACAGCCCGAGAGGCCCCAGUCACUGGCCCUUGAUCCUCACCUGGAGUCUCUCUGAUGGGCUAAAUAAAGAAACCUCUAGAAUUGUU